CAGAAAUCUAUCUGCCUCUGCCUCCGGAGUGCUGGGAUUAAAGGCUUGCGCCACCAAGUCUGGCGGUUCUCUUGUUCUUAAGGCCCUCAAAUAAGCAAAAGCUGAUCCAAGGCACCUGCUUAUGUGUCCGUUCCAUGAAGGAGGGAUCAUGGAGGCCUAGGAAGUCCCUGCUGGCUUUUGUUUCUUAGAUAAGACUCAGUGGGAAGAGGGAGUCAGGGGCUUCUGCUUCUCCUGACCGGUCAGAAGCUUCUAGAGUCAGCCCUCUGCUUCCCAGCAGGAACCCAAGUUGGCCGUUCAUGACACAAACACCCCAAGGCCACACAUACAGUGUGGCUGGAAAGAACCUUGAGGUGUCCAGGAGAGUGCCUGGCAGAAUACAGCUAGAGGAUAGCUGUAGACCUUCCCAGAAGGGGCCACACAGGGAAACUGGGCUGACUUUCCCCUCUGGUAAUUUGAGCUUUUGACUGCAACAGUGUAUCUUCUUUGCCGAGGCAACGCCAUCCACACAGAGCCACUCAGACCCCAAGCAUUCCUUGGCUACGCCAACAGGCCCUGCGAUGAUCAUCAGGAGCCUAGGUGUUGCCAGGAGCCUCACGACCCAAUAUCAGGACACGACCUUAGGAUCAUUUCCUGCUACACUUCUGGUCCUCUCAGCUCUCUCAGCUGCCCAGAAGGAACAAACAGCAGGCACGUGUAAAUUGUCAUCAUCCUUGGUUGGAUGGGGCAGGCUGAGUGAAUCUGUGGACUCUCUCUUGCUUCUGCUUCAGUAUCUUCAGGAUGAUGUUCUGUCCUGAGGAAGGUCAGAGAACCCAGCACAGCUGUGGUUCCAGAAAGUUCUUUGGGUGCUGGUCCAGUAUUCACAGAUGGUAUGCUGCAGACAGCCAGUGGCCAGCCACCAAGGAGUCAAGAAUGUCAAAGGGACAUCAUGCCAGCAGCUUGGUGUUUCUCAUCCCGCUGGCCCAGCUACCAGGAAAACCAGAAGAAUGACUCAAAAGCACCUGCCUAUCUUGAACAUGCCUGAACACAGAUACCAUGGUCACCUCAGACAGAUGGGGCUUGCCAAGCUGAGGUUCACAUAUGGGGAGGCCUACAGUUUGGGAAGGAUCUUUCAGCUCUUUCACUUGUGAACAUGGAGGACCAGGUGGUUGGAAGAUCAUUUGAGAUAGACCAAGGGCAAGCUUACAUGUGCAUAGAGCAGUCCCAAAGAGAUUGUUGUGACUAUCCACAUGUCAAUAGAUGAGAAUCUGACUGA